UACGUAGGCAGCAAGCGUUGUUCGGAAUUACUGGGCGUAAAGAGUGUGUAGGCGGUGCUCUAAGUUCGGUGUGAAAUCUCCCGCUUAACUGGGAGGGUGCGCCGGAAACUGGAGUGCUCGAGCGUGGGAGAGGGAUGCGGAAUUCCGAGGUGUAGCGGUGAAAUGACGUAGAUAUCUGGAGGAACACCGGUGGCGAAGGCGGCAUCCUGGACCAACACUGACGCUGAGUGAGCGAAAGCCAGGGGAGCAAACGGG
rnacentral:rRNA from 1 species